AUUUGGCCAAAAUUCAAUUUCAAGGACCAAAUUAAACAUUAACUAAAACUUUGGGGACCGACUUUUAUUUUCCCUCUCAUCCUUGGGGGCUUCAAAGGCGGAACCUCUGUUAUUCCGCUCGCCGUAGAGGGAGCUCGUGACUCGCUCGAUGAAGAUGCAAAAUUCUCGUAGGCUGCGGGGGGACGAUUGGAGAGCAUGCGAGAGGAGGCGACGGUGAAUCCAACGUGUCUCGGAGGAACGCUGAUGCGAGACAUCGUCGUCAAAGUCAUUGCGGAACCGAAGAAGAGGGAAAGAUCCGAACAUUUUCAAGUGGUGGCCAGGUGCUUGACAAAAGUGCCCACGUGGGGAGUUGAAACGGUGUUCGGGCGCAUGAAAUGGAAGCGACGGGUUGCUCUCGUUUUCGUGGUUUAGUUCUUGCAUUGUGAUGAACGAUGGCGAAGGAUAAAAAUGCGACCAGAGAAAAAGAAGAAAACCGCGAUUAAGAAAAAGACCAAUUGGCGUCUCCACUAGACAUUAAUCGAAGGGACGAGCAGUGCGGAGAAAAACGACGAAGCAACGCGGAGGCACCUCCUCGGUUUCUUCUCAUAAUUUCUUCGGCUUUUGUGCUCUUUUUUUUUUUUAUAAUUUUUCGUGCAGGUUUCCAUCGAAGGGAUCCAAAAAGACAAAAGAAGAAAACAAGAAACCAAAAGGGACAAAGCAAUUGGUGGUCAGAAACACGAAGCCAUGAAGCAACCUCUCUCGUUUUCCACCAUUCUUUGUAGUAUUCCUUUGUCCGGGCGAAAGUGUUUGCUGCAGAAGUUGUCUGAAUCUUUAAGUAAAGAGGUUUUCCUUUUUCAAAAAAUUUAGCCAUUUUUAUGAUGAGUCAGUUAUUAAUUUUACAGAAUGCGAGAACUGCAUAAAUGAAUAUUAACAAAAUAUAUGAUGCUAAGUUAUUGCUAUUAGCCCAUGGGAAACGAAUGUUUUGAUGGCACAGAGAACAAAAUUGUAUAUGACCUGUAUGUCAUUGUCUAAAAUAGUUAGCUGUAGAGACUGAUGAUGAUGAUAAUGGUGAGGAUGAAGAUGAUGA